rnacentral:rRNA from 1 species
UACGAAGGGGGCUAGCGUUGUUCGGAAUCACUUGGCGUAAAGGGCGCGUAGGCGGCUUUGUAAGUCGGGGGGGAAAGCCUGUGGCUCAACCACAGAAUUGCCUUCGAUACUGCAUGGCUUGAGACCGGAAGAGGUAAGUGGAACUGCGAGUGUAGAGGUGAAAUUCGUAGAUAUUCGCAAGAACACCAGUGGCGAAGGCGGCUUACUGGUCCGGUUCUGACGCUGAGGCGCGAAAGCGUGGGGAGCAAACAGG